rnacentral:lncRNA from 1 species
UCCAAACAACUAGUGGCCACCAGGGCACCCGCAGUCUCCUCACUUGUGUCCCUGAAGCUCAUCAAGAGUUGCUCAACAGCCCACAGAACCACCUGCCUGUCUCAUUGUCCUUAUCUUUCCAUUUCAAGGUUUCAACCAACCCUUGAGUACAGUCCUUACUGAGUCAGCCCUGAGUGCCUUAGGGAAAGAAGUGAGAGCGGGCAUCUCCCCUGGGAGGGGAAACAUGUUGCAGCACAUCAUGACAAAAAUAUCAAGACAGAACUUUAUAAAAUGUGCUAGGAAAAUCAAAGGAAGAGGGU